rnacentral:rRNA from 1 species
GACGAACGCUGGCGGCGUGCUUAACACAUGCAAGUCGAACGGAAAGGCCCUGCUUUCGUGUGGUGCUCGAGUGGCGAGGGGGUGAGUAACCCGUGAGUAACCUUCCCUUGACUUUGGGAUAACUUCAGAAAACUGGGGCUAAUACCGGCUAGGUGCUCCUGCUGCAUGGUGGGGGUUGGAAAGUUUCGGCGGUUGGGGAUGGACUCGCGGCUUAUGAGCUUGUUGGUGGGGUAGUGGCUUACCCAGGCUUUGACGGGUAGCCGGCCUGAGAGGGUGACCGGCGACAUGGCGACUGAGAGACGGACCAGACUCCAACGGGAGGCAGCAGGGGGAAAUAUGGCACAGUGGGCGGGAGCCUGAUGAAGCAACGCCGCGUGCGGGAUGAAGGCCUUCGGGUGGUAAACCGCUUUCGGCUGUGACGAAGCGGGAGUGACGGUAAUGGGUAAAGAAGCACCGGCUAACUACGUG